UUGAACGCUGGCGGAAUGCUUUACACAUGCAAGUCGAACGGCAGCACGGGGGCAACCCUGGUGGCGAGUGGCGAACGGGUGAGUAAUGUAUCGGAACGUACCCAGUCGUGGGGGAUAACUAUCCGAAAGGAUAGCUAAUACCGCAUACGUCCUGAGGGAGAAAGCGGGGGAUCGCAAGACCUCGCGCGAGUGGAGCGGCCGAUAUCAGAUUAGCUAGUUGGUGGGGUAAAGGCCCACCAAGGCGACGAUCUGUAGCUGGUCUGAGAGGACGACCAGCCACACUGGGACUGAGACACGGCCCAGACUCCUACGGGAGGCAGCAGUGGGGAAUUUUGGACAAUGGGCGCAAGCCUGAUCCAGCAAUGCCGCGUGCAGGAUGAAGGCCUUCGGGUUGUAAACUGCUUUUGUACGGAGCGAAAAGGUCUGCCCUAAUACGGUGGGCUCAUGACGGUACCGUAAGAAUAAGCACCGGCUAACUACGU
rnacentral:rRNA from 1 species